rnacentral:rRNA from 1 species
GAUGAACGCUGGCGGUGUGCCUAAUACAUGCAAGUCGAGCGAACAGACGAGGAGCUUGCUCCUCUGACGUUAGCGGCGGACGGGUGAGUAACACGUGGAUAACCUACCUAUAAGACUGGGAUCACUUCGGGAAACCGGAGCUAAUACCGGAUAAUAUAUUGAACCGCAUGGUUCAAUAGUGAAAGACGGUUUUGCUGUCCCUUAUAGAUGGAUCCGCGCCGCAUUAGCUAGUUGGUAAGGUCACGGCUUACCAAGGCAACGAUGCGUAGCCGACCUGAGAGGGGGGUUCGCCACACUGGUACCGAGACACGGGCCACAAACCUAGCGGGCGAAGCAUGAGGGAUCCUUCCGGAAGGGUCGGCUGCAGGGCGGAGCAACGCUGCGUGAACGAUGAAGGUCGUUGGAUCGUCAGGCUCUGCUCUGAGGGAAGCACCACUGCGCACGUCACUCUGCACCUCUUGACGGUACCCAACCAGAAAGCCACGGUGAACUACGUG